AUUGAACGCUGGCGGCAUGCCUUACACAUGCAAGUCGAACGGUAACGGGCCUUCGGGUGCCGACGAGUGGCGAACGGGUGAGUAAUGCAUCGGAACGUACCUUUCAGUGGGGGAUAACGUAGCGAAAGUUACGCUAAUACCGCAUAUUCUGUGAGCAGGAAAGCAGGGGAUCGCAAGACCUUGCGCUGAUUGAGCGGCCGAUGUCAGAUUAGCUAGUUGGUGAGGUAAAGGCUCACCAAGGCGACGAUCUGUAGCGGGGCUGAGAGGAUGAACCGCCACACUGGAACUGAGACCGGGUCCAGCCUCCUUCGGGAGGCAGCAGUGGGGAAUUUUGGCCAAUGCGGGCAACCCUGAUCCAGCCAUGCCGCGUGAGUGAAAAAGGCCUUCGGGUUGUAAAGCUCUUUCGGUCGGGAAGAAAUCGCAUGGGUUAAUACCCUGUGCGGAUGACGGUACCGGCAUAAGAAGCACCGGCUAACUACGUGCCAGCCGCCGCGGUAACAC
rnacentral:rRNA from 1 species